rnacentral:rRNA from 1 species
UUCGGGGCGAGUGGCGGACGGGUGAGUAACACGUGGGAACGUGCCCUUUGGUUCGGAAUAACUCAGGGAAACUUGAGCUAAUACCGGAUGAGCCCUACGGGGGAAAGAUUUAUCGCCGAAGGAGCGGCCCGCGUCUGAUUAGCUAGUUGGUGAGGUAAAGGCUCACCAAGGCUACGAUCAGUAGCUGGUCUGAGAGGAUGAUCAGCCACACUGGGACUGAGACACGGCCCAGACUCCUACGGGAGGCAGCAGUGGGGAAUCUUGCGCAAUGGGCGAAAGCCUGACGCAGCCAUGCCGCGUGGAUGAUGAAGGUCUUAGGAUUGUAAAAUCCUUUCACCGGGGACGAUAAUGACGGUACCCGGAGAAGAAGCCCCGGCUAACUUCGUGCCAGCAGCCGCGGUAAUACGAAGGGGGCUAGCGUUGCUCGGAAUUACUGGGCGUAAAGGGCGCGUAGGCGGACAGUUAAGUUGGGGGUGAAAGCCCGGGGCUCAACCUCGGAAUUGCCUUCAAUACUGGCUGUCUUGAGUACGGGAGAGGUGUGUGGAACUCCGAGUGUAGAGGUGAAAUUCGUAGAUAUUCGGAAGAACACCAGUGGCGAAGGCGACACACUGGCCCGUUACUGACGCUGAGGCGCGAAAGCGUGGGGAGCAAACAGGAUUAGAUACCCUG